rnacentral:rRNA from 1 species
CCUACGGGUGGCAGCAGUGAGGAAUAUUGGUCAAUGGGCGCGAGCCUGAACCAGCCAAGUAGCGUGAAGGAUGACUGCCCUACGGGUUGUAAACUUCUUUUAUAAAGGAAUAAAGUGAGGCACGUGUGCCUUUUUGUAUGUACUUUAUGAAUAAGGAUCGGCUAACUCCGUGCCAGCAGCCGCGGUAAUACGGAGGAUCCGAGCGUUAUCCGGAUUUAUUGGGUUUAAAGGGAGCGUAGAUGGGUUGUUAAGUCAGUUGUGAAAGUUUGCGGCUCAACCGUAAAAUUGCAAUUGAUACUGGCAGUCUUGAGUACAGUUGAGGUAGGCGGAAUUCGUGGUGUAGCGGUGAAAUGCUUAGAUAUCACGCAGAACUCCGAUUGCGAAGGCAGCAUACCGGCGCUCAACUGACGCUCAUGCACGAAAGUGUGGGUAUCGAACAGGAUUAGAUACCCGUGUAGUC